GGAAGUUAGAGGGGCUGAACCCCACACAGCCGAAAAUUUGCCUAAAUUUUGACUUCCCUGUAAUGUAACUGCUGACUGACCUGAUUAACUACUGUUGACCAGAAACCUUACCCAUAACAAAGUUGAUUAAUAUAUAUGCUGUAUAUUCUAUGUAUUAUACACUAUAUUCUUAUAAAAGUAAGCUAGAAUUGCCUUAGCUAUUCCAGCUGUUUUGGGGUUCGAUAUAAAUUUUAAAAUAGUUUAUCCUAAUUCUGUGAAGAAUGUCAUUGGUAGUUUGGUAGCUGACUUCAAACUAUACUACAAACCUGCAGUAACAGAAAUAGCAUGAUACUGUUACAACAGCAGACACAUAUACCAAUGGAACAGAAUAGAGAGCUAAGAAAUAAUGCAGCACACCCACAACCAUCCAACCUUCAACAACUCCACUUAAAAAAAGCAAUGGGGAAAGCAAUGGGACUGCUGGGUCAAAUGGCAAUUCUAAGUUCUUUGAGAAAUCGCCAAACUGCUUUCCGCAAUGACUAAACAAGUUUAAAUUCCCACCAGAAGUGCAUAAACGUCCCCUUUUCUCCACAACCUUGCCAGCUUCUGUUAGUUUUUGACCUUUUAAUAAUAGUCAUUCUGACUGGUGUGAGAUGGCGUCUCACUGUGGUUUUGAUUUGCAUUUCUCUAAUGAUUAGUGAGUUUGAGCAUUUUUUUCAUAGCCUUGUUGGCCACGUUAUGUCUUCUUUUGAAAAGUAUCUGUUUAUGUCCUUUGCCCACUUUUGAUGGGGUUGUUUGUUUUUUUUCUUGUAAAUUUAAGUUCCUUCCAGAUGCUGGAUAUUAGACCUUUGUCAGAUGGCUAGGUUGCAAAUAUUUUCUCCCUUUCUGUGAGCUGUUUACUCUGUUGAUAGUUUCUUUUGCCGUAAAGAAGCUCUUUAGUUUAAUUAGGUCCCAUUUGCCAAUUUUUGUUUUUCUUGCAAUUACUUUUGGCAUCUUUGUCAUGAAGAUCAUUUCCAGGUCCUAUGUCCGCAAUGGUAUUUCCUAGGUUAUCGUCCAAGGUUUUAAUAUGUUUUCAUUUUAGAUUUAAGUUUUUAAUCCUGCCUUUGCCUCCCAAAGUGCUGGGAUUACAAGCGUGAGCUACCACACCCAGCGAGGAAGCCAAGUUUAACGUGUGUGCUCCACUCCUCCAACCUGGCCAAAGGGCAGUCAUCAUCACUGGCCACUACUGACCACAGCCUUUAGAAACUCCCCUUGAACGUGCUGGGCUGACCUUCCUCUGAUCACAGGCAAGGCAAAGGAAAACGACAGGCCCUUGCCUUCCUGGUCCUCAAGGGUCAGCUGUAAGAUGAUGUCAUAAAGCCGGAUCAGGUCCUGGGGCCGGGGGAAGCACUUGCUGUCAUCCUCUGGCUGCUGCUGCAGCAGAGCCCUCUGCAGACCUUUGGCCAUGCUCUCAUUACGCUUGAUUGCCAUUGACAGCUUGAUGUAAGUCAGGUGGACAAAUAGAAGCUGAGGGUGAAGGACCUACAGCUGUCACCUUCAUCUCUUCUCAACACUGCCAACUGUCCCCUUGGAUCUCCC
rnacentral:lncRNA from 1 species